GAUGAACGCUAGCGGCAGGCAUAAUACAUGCAAGGCGAAGGGGCAGCAAUGUCACUGUCGUACGGGUGCGUAACGCGUAUGCAACCUACCUAUCACUGGGGGAUAGCCCGGGGAAACCCGGAUUAAUACCGCAUAAAACAGGGGCACCGCAUGGUGAUAUUUGUUAAAGAUUUAUUGGUGAUAGAUGGGCAUGCGUUCGAUUAGCUAGUUGGCGGGGUAACGGCCCACCAAGGCGACGAUUGAUAGGGGAGCUGAGAGGUUGGUCCCCCACACGGGCACUGAGAGACGGGCCCGACUCCUACGGGAGGCAGCAGUAGGGAAUAUUGGGCAAUGGAUGCAAGUCUGACCCAGCCAUGCCGCGUGCCGGAUGAAGGCCCUCAGGGUUGUAAACGGCUUUUAUUCGGGAAGAAGAGCAGGGGUGCGUCCUUGUGUGACGGUACCGAAUGAAUAAGCACCGGCUAGCUCCGUGCCAGCCGCCGCCGUAAUAC
rnacentral:rRNA from 1 species